rnacentral:rRNA from 1 species
AACCCGACUCCACGAAGUUGGAUUCGCUAGUAAUCGCGCAUCAGCCAUGGCGCGGUGGAUACGUUCCCGGGCCUUGUACACACCGCCCGUCAAGCCAUGGGAGCCGGGGGCGCCUGAAGUCCGGGACCGCGAGGACCGGCCUAGGGCGAAACUGGUAACUGGGGCUAAGUCGUAACAAGGUAGC